GGCGAUCAGAUACCGCCCUAGUUCUGACCGUAAACGAUGCCAACUAGCGAUCCGCCAGUCGACUCAUCGCUCUGGUGGGGAGCUUCCCGGAAACGAAAGUCUUCCGGUUCCGGGGGAAGUAUGGUUGCAAAGCUGAAACUUAAAGGAAUUGACGGAAGGGCACCACCAGGAGUGGAGCCUGCGGCUUAAUUUGACUCAACACGGGGAAACUCACCCGGCCCGGACACCGUAAGGAUUGACAGAUUGAUAGCUUUUUCAUGAUUCGGUGGAUGGUGGUGCAUGGCCGUUCUUAGUUCGUGGAGCGAUUUGUCUGGUUUAUUCCGAUAACGAGCGAGACUCUGGCCUACUAAAUAGUUGGCAUAUUGCCACUGUGUGCACAACUUCUUAGAAGGAUUUUCGGUGUUCAGCCGCACGAAAUUGAGCAAUAACAGGUCUGUGAUGCCCUUAGAUGUCCGGGGCUGCACGCGCGCUACACUGGCAAACGCAACGUGCCUGUCCUGCCCCGAAAGGAGCGGGUAAACCCCUGAAAUUUUGCCGUGAUUGGGAUCGGACAUUGCAACUAUUGUCCGUGAACGAGGAAUUCCUUGUAGGGGCGAGUCAUCAACUCGUCCCGAAUACGUCCCUGCCCUUGUA
rnacentral:rRNA from 1 species